rnacentral:lncRNA from 1 species
AAACACACAAACAGAUGUAGAAAUGUGCUGUUUGGUGUAAGCAGUUCCACUGUGACAGGCUGGAUGUGAAGCUUUGGGGUGAGAAAGAGUAAGAAAGGAGGUCUUUAUCAGCACAGCUUCCUGGUUCAAUAUGCAAACUUGGUUUUGUGCUGGCUCCCCAGCUCUAAAACGAAGCUGUUGAGGACCAGUUCCUGCUGUUUCUUCCACACACGCAGUCUGAACAGCUCCGGGUGGCACUAUUUUAAGCUGAAUCCCAAAGCCUGUCUGCAGAGAAGAGAGCUGCCAUGAAAAAUAGCCAAUGCAUAUACAGCAGCAUCAGGAGAAAAACAGGACCUUGAUGUUCCGUGCGUCUGGGGAGAACCACCCGGCUUGGCGGCAUUCCUCACGUCUGACUUGCGAGGGCUCCACGCAGGAAACUUCUCAAGCCUUCAUUUAUCUUCCCCCAAAAGGGCAAGUCGCCCUCAGCGAGCGUGGAGCUGGGUGUCAGACCGCAGCUAACGCCAGACGGCCUCUUAAGCAACAAUUAAGCCCCGGCGGUGCCGGUGUCACCUCAUUGCUCACCCAGCACGGCCCUUUUCCGCGUGCUUUGCUUCCCUUUUGCUUUUGUUCUCCCCGUGAUCCCUGCCACCGUGGCUUGAAGAAAAGGCUCGGCACCAGGCACGUAGCAGGAGGUGUCCGCCGGUGGCUGCUCUGCGGGGCUGGGCAAGCGAGGUCCUUCCACCCAAAGCAGCGUCACCCAAAGCAGCAUCACCCAAAAGCUGUUCCCGAACGUGCAGCCUCCCUGCAGCGGGCUGUGGGCUUUUCAGGGGCUGUCCCCUGCAGAGGACUGAUGCUACAAGCAAGUAAAUCCACAGGGCUUUCUUCCCCAUCUCCUCCAUAUGCCUGGUCCUGGUACAAAUCCCUUUCGGCACUGGUGUGCAGGGCUACAGGGGUAGUGAACGUGGGAUUUGGCUCUCGGGAUGGUCCCAUAGGAGACUGGGAAUUCCCUGCUAAAGGAUGGAUGUGGUGCACGGGGCAGAGGUGGCGGUGCCUGGUGCUGGGGGGGGGGACCCCUGGACCACCUGUGGAAACAAGAAAUGAGCAUUUUUCCCAAAGAAAACGUCGGUGUGCGUCUGCUUGCUCCUAACCUGUGUGGUAACGAAUGAGGAGCUUUUAAAAGGGUUUAAAACCAAAUGAAAACAACAAGCCCUGCUGGUAUUUCCCCUUUGAAUUUCCAUUGGAUUAAGUUAUAAAGAA